rnacentral:siRNA from 1 species
UAUCGAAUGGUGACUGCGUUU